CCAGACUCCUACGGGAGGCAGCAGUGGGGAAUAUUGGGCAAUGGGCGCAAGCCUGACCCAGCAACGCCGCGUGAAGGAAGAAGGCUUUCGGGUUGUAAACUUCUUUUCUCAGGGACGAAGCAAGUGACGGUACCUGAGGAAUAAGCCACGACUAACUACGUGCCAGCAGCCGCGGUAAUACGUAGGUGGCAAGCGUUAUCCGGAUUUACUGGGUGUAAAGGGCGUGUAGGCGGGGACGCAAGUCAGAUGUGAAAACCAUGGGCUCAACCUGUGGCCUGCAUUUGAAACUGUGUUUCUUGAGUACUGGAGAGGCAGACGGAAUUCCUAGUGUAGCGGUGAAAUGCGUAGAUAUCAGGAGGAACACCGGCGGCGAAGGCGGCCUGCUGGACCGUGACUGACGUUGAGGCUCGAGAGCGUGGGGAGCAAACAGGAUUAGAUACCCCAGUAGC
rnacentral:rRNA from 1 species